rnacentral:lncRNA from 1 species
UAUAUUGGAAUUAUUAUUCUUGGGAUCUGGCUUGUACAGAUUCCUUUUUUGCAUUGUCUGGCAUCUUUGAAGUUUGGUUAAUAAAACUUGUUUGAUGCUAUUAUAUUCUCCUCAUUGCAUGCUUUUUAUUUCGAGAUGUGGAAUGCCAAGUGCAAAGGAGUUAUUUUUGUAUAGAAACAGACUAUUUUAUACCAGAAUCGUUCUGUGCCCCUUAAGAUUGGAAAAUGAACGGGUUGCCUUUCCUUUACAUUUAGGAGAUAGGAGAACAAAACAACCUGGGGAGUUGGUGACGAAGCCUUCAAUUUUUUUUCAUCAUGCAAGGGUGGACCAAAGAUUCUAUAGAUGAUAUCUGGAGUCCUCAGUGUUCUCAUAUUAGCAGGGAGUCCUCAGUGUUCUCAUAUUAGGUUUUUAUGGUUUCAUUGUUCUUCAGAUUCGUCUGAAAAUGUGCAUCUCACAAAGACAUGAUUGUUUUAUUUGUUGACUUGCAUGUGGUAAAAGUCAAUUUUCUUGCCGUAAAAAAUGGAACGCAAGAAGAUUCUUUGAGGUUCUAUAUUUGUAAAUUUUUCAAUUUGGUAUGGACUAUAGGUUGUACAGUCAAUGAGAAUUUAAAUUGGUUUUUUAGGAGUGGGGGCUGAGGUGGUGUGGGAAGAAAUCUUUAUAUUGUAUUAGUCUAUGGGAGCAACAAGUUCAGAAGUAUGGUUAGAAUGUG